CUUCCAAAUUUAUUUCUCCAUGUUUAAUGCCUCAAAUUGCAAGUAGGGGGGUGAAAUUACACUGUAAAAAAAAAUUGGGUCCAGAAUUUUAAAGGAAAGUAGUGAUUUGGUCCAGCUGAAAAAGGUUGAAAAUUAGCACUUCGGAAGCUGUCAAAAGAUUUCAAGACGCCCUAAACAUAAAAUUGUCCAUAUUUUGAGUUAGAGCCGAUGAAGUUUUCUAUAAUUUUGAUAUAGUUUGUC
rnacentral:lncRNA from 1 species